rnacentral:tRNA from 1 species
AGUAGAAUAGCUCAGUGGUAGAGUGCGUGCUUAGCACGCAUGAGGUCCUGGGUUCAAUCCCUAGUACCUCUG